GAAUAAGAGAGAAGAGGAACUUCUUUCAGACGAGAGGGCGAGAGAGGGAGAGACUCUGUUCAGGUGGUAGUAGAAGGAGCGGGCGAGAGAGGAAGAGACUCUGUUCAGGAGGUAGUAGAACGAGGAGGUGGUGCGAGAGAGAGACAUGCUAGGACUCUUCGUUCUGGGGUGCACCGGAGUGGUGAUCUUCCUCCAUGGCGCCAAUCUCUUGUACCAUUUUCUCUCCAGUCAUGUGGCCGUUCGCUCUCUCAGCUUCCUGGGGUCUAUAGGGUGGUAGACUGAUGUCGUUGAUUCUGUGAGGGAGCAGAGGACAUGGUUCCUUCCUUGUCUCAUAUAACACGUUGAUUGGCUACUAAACUGUACAGAAUCGAAGAAUAACAAGAGGAUCACGUCCGUGGCGAGCUGCUUCAGGAGUAUGGAUUGGUUCAUGCUGCUUAACAAGAAUUUUGUAAUUGACAAAAACGUUAAGUUGCACUGUUUAUUUGCUUC